rnacentral:lncRNA from 1 species
AAAUUCAAGUCAUAUGCUUUCAUCUUCACGACCUCAUAAUUAACUUUCCAUUGUGAGAUCUCCUCAGGUUAUAGCUACUGAUUAAGAGGGGAAAGGUUGAGGAGAAAGUGAAGGGCAGGGAAUUACAUGCUCCCUUUCCUUUUACAGGCACUUCCUUUACAGCAGGUUUGCCAUUGCAUUGCUUGGGAAAGGCAGAGAGUUUGCGUAUGAGAUCACAGAGAGUAAUGAAUCAAGGGGUUUGCAGGGACCGCUGAACUAGGAUGACAGGAUUUGGAACCUGAGAGUUGGUGCUCUUUGUUUGUUGUGGCCUAUCAUCAGUCAAUUCCAGUGUGUAGGUUAAUAAGGCUUAAACUUUAAAGGAACGGUGAGCACCUGAUUGACAAGUCUGUGAAUAAAAGUGCAGUGGGAAGUUUUGUGUUUGUGACG